rnacentral:rRNA from 1 species
UACGAGGGGUCCUAGCGUUGCUCGGAAUCAUUGGGCGUAAAGCGGGUGUAGGCGGACAAUCAAGUCAGAUGUGAAAGCCCCAGGCUCAACCUGGGAAGUGCAUUUGAAACUGGUUAUCUUGAGUGCAGUAGAGGAAGGUGGAAUUCCAAGUGUAGUGGUGAAAUACGUAGAUAUUUGGAGGAACAUCGGUGGCGAAGGCGACCUUCUGGACUGUUACUGACGCUGAGACCCGAAAGCGUGGGGAUCAAACAGG